rnacentral:lncRNA from 1 species
AACAAACACACACUAAAAGAGGACGAACUACCAAAAACCUAAGUAAAUACUAUCUAUUAAAUAGUUUGAAUUCCUUCUCUAAUUUAUUUUCUUUCUUUCACUUCUGACUAAGUUCGAUCACUGUGAGUUGAUUGUCAGAUUGAGCUCUUAUACGACUAGUGAUCGCCUUUACUUGGUUUGCUGCUCUGAAGAAGGUCAGUAAACACUGACCCCCUCUUUAUUCUUCGGUUAUUCAUGUGUUGUCAUGUAAUUCUUUGUUUGACAUUUUUCUAUUAAUUACCUGCUUGCUCUUCAUGAUGUUCAUCAGUAAACAUGUGACUUUCCUGUUGUGUUCUGAUUUUGUGUUAUUCUUGUUUUAAGUUAAUGAUGCUUUCUUGAUAGUUAUGUUUAUUUCUGUGUUGUUGCUAAAUCAAUGCUUUAUGAUGGUCGUUGGACUCUAUUUUUUAUGACUUAGCUAAUUGAAAUAAUUUUAAACUAUUGUUACCCUUAUAGGUAGUCUUGUUGAUUCCUCAUGUUAGUUGAACUAAACCCUAUGUUUGUGGCUAUGUGUGACCUACACUCUACUGAUUGAGUAACAACUAUAUUUACACUGUCAUGCUUGCUAAGUUGACUGAAUAGUGUUCUUAAACUUUUUCUAAUAUCCUGUUUAACUAGCUAAGAUCUUUAUACCUAAAUCAUUAUGUUGUCUUAACCCUCAAGCUUACAGUGUCAUGUUGCUUUGGUUUAGUCCAUUGAAUGACUCUCAUCAAUGGUCUUGUUCUUGUAAUCUUGUUGUUUGCGUAACUAGGUGACUCUAGUUGACAAUUUGCUCAUGAUACUAUAUUGUUCUGCAAAGUUGAGGUAUAAUGGCUCAUGUGUGCUUAUCAUGACAACUUGAAUAAAAGAGAAUCCUGUGGUAAACUUUGGUGGCAUGACUUACUUUUAAUAGAAAACUAGUUUACUUGUCUAAAAUGGCAACUUGUCGUCUUCUGCUUAUCCUUCCUUGGUCAACUAUAAAAUGAGUGUUUACUUUUAUUAUUUCAUGAUCACUUGAUAACACUAUUUAGAUGGUCCUCAUUUAUGAACCUGAGUAUUGUUGAUUCUGACAAUUUUAGAGUUUGAUGGAAUGUGCAUUAUCAUUAGAUACCUUGCAUGUUAGGUUUAAAUAAGACUAAGUUAUCCCUCCUAUUCAUGCUAAUGUCUCUGUUUUCCCAGUUGAUUGGUAUGCUCUUUUAUGAAUUCUGAAUAAGGUAAAAGCACAUGUGCUUAAUAUAAAAAAUUUCCAACUGUAUGAAUACUCUCUUAGAAGAAUUAUUCUGAAUGCUGUUAUAAUGUUCUAUAACAUGCUCUAGUGAUUUGAACCUACUUAAGGAAGAUUCUGAAGUGCUGGACCUUUAGUGAAGUUAAUAAAUAAGUGCAUAUAUUUAUCUUUGUCAACUGAUGAUGCCUUAAACUACUUACUAUGACCUUCCUGAACCUGAAUUUGUGAGUAGCAUAUUAAGGCUUACCUUCAAAAGUUCAGUCAGCUAUUUGUGCUUGAUGGCCUUUCUUAAGUGUGAUUACGCCGUGAAUGACAUGCCAUAUGGAAUGACUUAGAAUUAGACUUUAAACCUUCUAAGCUGUUAAGACUUUGGGAGUUCAUGUAUGUCUGACAAUUAUCACAGUUUAGAACUCAGAUAUGUGUUAAUCAUUGGCUAUUUGUGACUUUGCAUUCUAGUGAUAACUUCACUUUAUAGAAUGGUUGUCUGACUUGAACUAUUGAUGCCUCUAUGUGAUUGAACCUCCUGAAUGUGUUAUGAAAUCUUCUGUACCUUUGCUGGUGUGUUUUAUGUUGGCUGUAUAAGGUUGCUAUUUGGUUGCAAUGCCAAGUUGAUGCUUGUUUGUGCUUAAACCUCUGAAGAAAAGUGAGGUACAAUUCUUAAGGAUAUUUUUGUGUGAGCCUGACUUUAUGAUUAAGGACCCCCUCCCUAGAAAAAACAUUGCUCGGGUCCAUGAGGUUCUCGUGAACUCUAAAGUGUCAGGGGUUCAUAGGGAACCUUAUAAAUAAAUACGAUUUACUGUAAGCCCAUAGUCAUUGACCUUGACUAAUCUUCAUAGGAUUAACACAAACGCAACUCAACUUUGCCAUAUUCUUUAGAUCCUGUUCUUAUUCAUUAUAACUUUAUCUUACUUCACCUUUUACAUUUACAUAUUCUAAUUAAUUUUUCUUCUUUUCUUUGUAUGAUCAUUGGACCUGUUGAGUUCAUUUAGAACUCAGGCCCAGAUUCAGGAAAUUGGGAUACUUCCUUGUCACACGUUGGAGUCUGCCGCUGAUUUGAGUAUAGCUGGGCCUCGUUACUUGCCCACCCAAUAUUGAGAGUCCAACCUUCCUUCCCUUUAUUCAAAUUGUUGUUAUUAUUAUUUACUUUUUUCGUGUAUAUGUCUUUGAAGAACUAACAUUAUUGUUGUAUAAUCGUUGCUAUCUUGAUUGUUUAGGCUGAUUUUAGGCAAGUGA